rnacentral:rRNA from 1 species
ACGGGUGAGUAACACGUGGACAAUCUGCCCCCCGGUCCGGGAUAGCCCAGGGAAACCUGGAUUAAUACCGGAUGCGAGCGCGAGCACACAGGUGUUUGCGGGGAAAGGCGCUUCGGCGCCGCCGGGGGAUGAGUCCGCGGCCCAUUAGCUAGACGGCGGGGUAAAGGCCCACCGUGGCGACGAUGGGUAGCCGGCCUGAGAGGGUGAUCGGCCACAUUGGAACUGAGACACGGUCCAGACUCCUACGGGAGGCAGCAGCUAAGAAUCUUCCGCAAUGGGCGAAAGCCUGACGGAGCGACGCCGCGUGAACGAUGAAGGCCGUGAGGUUGUAAAGUUCUUUUCGGGAGGAGGAAUAAGCGGGGCAGGAAAUGGCCUUGCGAUGACGUGAAUCCCGGAAUAAGCCCCGGCUAACUACGUGCCAGCAGCCGCGGUAACACGUAGGGGGCGAGCGUUGUUCGGAAUCAUUGGGCGUAAAGGGCGUGCAGGCGGCCCUGCAAGUCCGGCGUGAAAUGCCCCGGCUCAACCGGGGAGACGCGCUGGAAACUGCGGGGCUGGAGUACAGGAGGGGAUGCCGGAAUUCCAGGUGUAGGGGUGAAAUCUGUAGAUAUCUGGAGGAACACCAAUGGCGAAGGCAGGCAUCUGGCCAUGUACUGACGCUGAGACGCGAAGGUGCGGGGAGCAAACAGGUUUAGAUACCCUGGUAGUCCGCACAGUAAACGAUGUGCACCAGGUGGCGGGGGGGUCGACCCCCCGGUACCGAAGCUAACGCAUUAAGUGCACCGCCUGGGGGAGUAUGCUCGCAAGGGUGAAACUCAAAGGAAUUGACGGGG